GUCGAACGCGUCCCGGUUGAUGAAGUUGAGUGCUUGCACUUGAUUGAUUCAACUUGGUGACGAGUGGCGAACUGGUGAGUAACACGUGGGUAACCUGCCCCGAAGCGGGGGAUAACAUUUGGAAACAGGUGCUAAUACCGCAUAACAACCAAAACCACCUGGUUUUGGUUUGAAAGACGGCUUCGGCUGUCACUUUGGGAUGGACCCGCGGCGUAUUAGCUAGUUGGUGAGGUAACGGCUCACCAAGGCGAUGAUACGUAGCCGACCUGAGAGGGUAAUCGGCCACAUUGGGACUGAGACACGGCCCAAACUCCUACGGGAGGCAGCAGUAGGGAAUCUUCCACAAUGGACGCAAGUCUGAUGGAGCAACGCCGCGUGAGUGAUGAAGGGUUUCGGCUCGUAAAACUCUGUUGUUGGAGAAGAACGGGUGUCAGAGUAACUGUUGACAUCGUGACGGUAUCCAACCAGAAAGCCACGGCUAACUACGUGCCAGCAGCCGCGGUAAUACGUAGGUGGCAAGCGUUGUCCGGAUUUAUUGGGCGUAAAGCGAGCGCAGGCGGUUUUUUAGGUCUGAUGUGAAAGCCUUCGGCUUAACCGGAGAAGUG
rnacentral:rRNA from 1 species